AUUGAACGCUGGCGGCAUGCCUUACACAUGCAAGUCGAACGGUAACGCGGGGCAACCUGGCGACGAGUGGCGAACGGGUGAGUAAUACAGCGGAACGUGCCCGAUCGUGGGGGAUAACGAAGCGGCAGCUUUGCUAAUACCGCAUAAGAUCUACGGAUGAAAGCAGGGGACCGCAAGGCCUUGCGCAAACGGAGCGGCCGAUGGCAGCUUAGGUAGUUGGUGAGAUAAAAGCUUACCAAGCCGACGAUCUGUAGCGGGUCUGAGAGGACGACCAGCCACACUGGGACUGAGACACGGCACAGACUCAUACGGGAGGCAGCAGUGGGGAAGUUUGGACAAUGGGCGAAAGCCUGAUCCAGCCAUGCCGCGUGCAGGAUGAAGGCCUUCGGGUUGUAAACUGCUUUUGUACGGAACGAAAAGACUCUUUCUAAUAAAGAGGGUCCAUGACGGUACCGUAAGAAUAAGCACCGGCUAACUACGUGCCAGCAGCCGCGGUAACAC
rnacentral:rRNA from 1 species